ACUCCAGUGACUGCCUCUCAGAAAAGAACAGGGCAAUGUCCAUUCUCCUUUUAUUUUCUUUAAGCACCUGAUCAUUCUAAAAGCAUGUGUUCCUCCGUGUGUGUGAGUUGUGUACACGUGUGUGUGUGUUCCUUUCUUUUCUCGGACUCCAGGCUCAUGACUGCUUAUUUGCAUGGUGUUUUGGUGUCAAAGGAGUGUUGAAUGUGUUCUCCACACACCCAGCUUUAUUCCACUCUAGGAGUUUAACUUCUUCAGCAUUGUUAUGAGGUCCCCGGUGACCUCAGUUUCUCCUCUCCGCGUCAUCCAGGACUUCACCUGAAGCUUGAGCUACACGUAAGACUUCAUCUACCUUGCACAGGGCAAUGGAGAGAGAUUCCUGCAAGUAGACUGACAGCUGCAUGUUUGCAGGAAAGUUAAAUAUUUUGACAGCGCAGAAGACUGCUGCAUCUGGAGGGUUCUGGGUCCAGCUAUAACCAGACUUGCCUGUCCUAAACAAAUGGAUUGACUGCUUCCGGCAUCCUCACUUUACUUCUGCAUGGUGACCAACAUCCGGAGCUUAAUUACCUGACAGCCAGGAGGUAGGGGGCAAAGGAAACCUUUUAAUUUAUAGUAAGAAGUGAUCAGUUCCUUUUUUGGGUCUUAGUUAGAAUCCAGGUGCACUUGAAACAAUAAAACCUUGUAUAUAGUUUUCUCCUAUAA
ensembl:lncRNA LINC03095 long intergenic non-protein coding RNA 3095